rnacentral:rRNA from 1 species
GCUGUUGCUGGCCCUUGGGUAUGUGCACGCUUGUCAUCUUUAUCAUUUCUCCAACUUGUGCACAUAUAUGUAGACCUGUUUUUUCUUUGAAGAAAUUCAAGUUGGGGGGACUGCUGUGCUUUUCCAAAGUCGGCUUUCCCUUGUAUUUUACAGGUCUAUGUCAUUUUUCACAACCUCUAGAAUGCGUUUAGAAUGUUGAAUCAGGUCCUUUUUGUACCUAUAUAAAGUUAUAUACAACUUUCAGCAACGGAUCUCUUGGCUCUCGCAUCGAUGAAGAACGCAGCGAAAUGCGAUAAGUAAUGUGAAUUGCAGAAUUCAGUGAAUCAUCGAAUCUUUGAACGCAUCUUGCGCUCCUUGGUAUUCCGAGGAGCAUGCCUGUUUGAGUGUCAUUUGACUUCUCUCAACCACAUCGUCUUUUCAAUGUGGCUUGGAUGUGGGGGAAUUUCUUUGCAGGCCUUCAAUUAUUAAAGGCCUGCUCCCCUGAAAUGCAUUAGUGGUGUCUGAGCUGCUAUUGGUGUGAUAAUUUAUCUAUGCCUUUGGUAAUUGCUGGUCAGCACCGCUUAUAACAACACAUUUGACAAAUUUGACCUCAAAUCAGGUAGGACUACCCGCUGAACUUAAGCAU